rnacentral:rRNA from 1 species
AAAUUGAACGCUGGCGGCAUGCCUUACACAUGCAAGUCGAACGGCAGCGCGGGGCAACCUGGCGGCGAGUGGCGAACGGGUGAGUAAUAUAUCGGAACGUACCCAAGAGUGGGGGAUAACGUAGCGAAAGUUAGCUAAUACCGCAUACGAUCUAAGGAUGAAAGUGGGGGAUCGCAAGACCUCAUGCUCCUGGAGCGGCCGAUAUCUGAUUAGCUAGUUGGUAGGGUAAAGGCCUACCAAGGCUACGAUCAGUAGCUGGUCUGAGAGGACGACCAGCCACACUGGAACUGAGACACGGUCCAGACUCCUACGGGAGGCAGCAGUGGGGAAUUUUGGACAAUGGGCGCAAGCCUGAUCCAGCAAUGCCGCGUGAGUGAAGAAGGCCUUCGGGUUGUAAAGCUCUUUUGUCAGGGAAGAAACGGUGGGGGCUAAUAUCCUCCACUAAUGACGGUACCUGAAGAAUAAGCACCGGCUAACUACGUGCCAGCAGCCGCGGUAAUACGUAGGGUGCAAGCGUUAAUCGGAAUUACUGGGCGUAAAGCGUGCGCAGGCGGUUUUGUAAGUCUGUCGUGAAAGCCCCGGGCUCAACCUGGGAAUUGCGAUGGAGACUGCAAGGCUUGAAUCUGGCAGAGGGGGGUAGAAUUCCACGUGUAGCAGUGAAAUGCGUAGAGAUGUGGAGGAACACCGAUGGCGAAGGCAGCCCCCUGGGUCAAGAUUGACGCUCAUGCACGAAAGCGUGGGGAGCAAACAGGAUUAGAUACCCUGGUAGUCCACGCCCUAAACGAUGUCUACUAGUUGUCGGGUUUUAAUUAACUUGGUAACGCAGCUAACGCGUGAAGUUGACC